UGGUCGUAUAUUUUAUAAAGAAAAAUUACUUUGCAAGUAAUAAGAAGUAGCAAUCUAUUUACUGCCAA
rnacentral:tRNA from 1 species